rnacentral:rRNA from 1 species
UCUAGUAGCGAUAGCGAAGAGGUCACACUCGUUCCCAUGCCGAACACGACCGUUAAGCUCUUCAGCGCCGAUGGUAGUUGGGGGUUUCCCCCUGUGAGAGUAGGACGUUGCUAGGU